GUGGGCCCAGGGCAGCAUGCCCAAACCCAGGUUAAUUAGAGCCAAGGGACGUUGAUUGGGGCCUCCUGGUUUGUAAGGAUGGCUGGGAGAUGCUGGGUCAGGACUGCCUGCUUUCCUACUGGAAGCUGGUCUGUUUCCAGGCAAAUGCUCUCAGCUCCACAGGUAAAUUGUCAGCAGUGUGCUCCAUCCACUGGAAUUAUUUAUAGACUUGCCCAGAAACUUGGCUCUCAGGACUGAGUCAUUACAGGAAAUGGAAAUAUUAUAAGCAACACCUGGAAAGAAGGUUCUGGUUGUAGAGUGCAAUUCAAAAUUUAAAAAGCUUCUUGGUAAUGGAUAAGCUGAACUGUUUGAAGUUCAACACAGGCAAACAGAGGGUUCUACAGCUGGGGAAGAAUAACCCCAGCUCACUACAGGCUGGUGACUCACCUGCUGGGAAUCAGCUCUGCAGAGAAGGAACUGAGUGUCCUGGUGGAAAAGAAGCUCUCCAAGCAGUGCCAUGGGGGACAAGAAGGCCACUGGUGCAUUAGGGGUGCAUUAGGGAAAGCACUGCCAGCCUGCCAAGGGAGGUGCAGCCACAGGCAGUUGUGGAGGCAGGAUCAACAGGUCCCAGGAGGAGCUGAACAAACUCAUUGACAGUAGAAGGUUUCAAUGCUCACUGAUGUACAAGUACUGGCUGGAAACAUGGAAUGCAUUUCCCCUAUUUGUACAGCUAAAGCUGGAACGUUAGUGGAGCAGGAAUCUGAAAUGACAGCGAGAUUGCCCAUGCAAAAUUAAUUCACAGCCUUCAAAGAAAAUGUGUAUGGGAAACAUGCUGGAGCUGACCUGCACCUCAGGCUCCACUCCACAAAUGGGAUCUUCAUCCUGCCUGCAGUCUGCUGUAGCAGGGACUUGGCAUGACUAUGAACUUGCUGGAGGAUUGUGGGCGACAGGUUCUUGCCUGGCCUCCCCUGUCCUUGCUUGGUGUGGAAAAGAUGUAGGUGUGGUGUGGGGAAGAGUUAUAAAGUGACUGGUUGCUGCUGGGGGCUUGUUCGUGCUCGUGCUGUGCUGUGGGGUACAGGCUGUGGAAAGACUGUCAAACCCAACACCAGCACAAGGGAGAAAGAACAGAGCCCAUUUUUCAUCUGGCUGGGGUUAUUUCAGUGUGUACAGCCCUCUGUUGUGCUUCUCUGAGUGCUGCCUAGGCAUGUGCAAGCUAUGGGGUGAAACUGGGGUGAAUAGACCUGGGUCUGUUCUUGAAUAGCUGCAGAAAAUUCCUUUGGAGGUGUUAUGUGUACACAGAGGCUAUUGCAGGCUUCCUGAAGGCUGUUACACCUUCCCUCCUUGAUGAAUCCAUGGGGUUUUGUGCACUGGAUUAUUACAGGGUGCCCUUUUAGCCCCUUCUAACACGACACCAUUUGCAUUUGUUCUCCCUCUGGAGAACAGGAGGGAAAGAACAGUGAGAUAUUCAGGGACUUAAAACCCCUGCACUUAACAAAAAUGAAAUGGGAUCUCAUGCCAACUGUGUGAUUCGCACUUUCCUUGCUUUGUGUGCAGCGUUGGGGCUCUCCCCCCGUUCUCUUUUAGGUGAUUAAUUCCACCUCCUGCUAAAUAAAUUUACAAUUAAAAUGGGCUUAUUUGUAACAGC